rnacentral:rRNA from 1 species
UCCAGACUCCUACGGGAGGCAGCAGUGGGGAAUAUUGCACAAUGGGGGAAACCCUGAUGCAGCGACGCCGCGUGAGCGAAGAAGUAUUUCGGUAUGUAAAGCUCUAUCAGCAGGGAAGAAGAAAGACGGUACCUGACUAAGAAGCCCCGGCUAACUACGUGCCAGCAGCCGCGGUAAUACGUAGGGGGCAAGCGUUAUCCGGAUUUACUGGGUGUAAAGGGAGCGUAGACGGCAUAGCAAGUCUGAAGUGAAAGCCCGUGGCUCAACCGCGGAACUGCUCUUGGAACUGCGUGGCUAGAGUGCAGGAGGGGCAGGCGGAAUUCCUGGUGUAGCGGUGAAAUGCGUAGAUAUCAGGAGGAACACCGGUGGCGAAGGCGGCCUGCUGGACUGCAACUGACGUUGAGGCCCGAAAGCGUGGGGAGCAAACAGGAUUAGAUACCCUAGUAA